rnacentral:lncRNA from 1 species
UUUUUUUUUUUUUUGAUUACAUGAGACUAUUGCUCAGAUUAUAACUCAUAUACAUGAGACUAUUACUGAUAUUUACAAAUCAGACUAUUACUGGGACCAACUGACAUCAAUGCUAAUGGAGCUCUGCCCAUAUUUUAACCCUCACAAAUAUUCGAGGGAUGUCUACUCUUCACUCAUGGGUAAGGGAGAAGACUACCUUCACUCAAAUUAAUUGAGGAAGGAAAUACCCCCACAAUACUUUUGUGGGGGUUCGAACUGCUGCCCUCCAAGUUGGAGGGCAGCAGCCCUGGCCACUCGGGCUACUGCCCGAGUGGU